CUCUCUAUCAAUCAACAUUUACUACUGCAAAACAACUUUUGCCUUGGAACCAAUACACAAUAUUGAUUCUAAGAUGGAAGAAUACCUACUCUGAUAAUGGCUAUGAUACUACAUUGGUUAAGUCUAUGUGAACCUCUUUUAUGGAUUGCUAGCUGUUCAUGCUGACCUCUUAUUUUGUAAAUAUAGAUGAUCACACGCAGAAGAAAAACAACUGCAAGUUUAUGGAACAUAAGGUCUACGGAAGGAAAUGCUCUGUGAAAACUUGCCUCCUUCCUCUUCGUGUUCUUACCAAGAUGCACAUGAGCUGUUUUCUUGUUUAAUCUUUUGCUAGAUUCGUCUAGGUUUAAAAGGGAUACAGAGAUCCCUAACUAAUUUAUUUUCUUUAUUUAAUACCCAAUGGAAUUGUGUGUCAGAUAUGGGAAAGUUUGGGGAAGGGGAGGGAGGGAAGGAAUGUGAUUCUUGUAACCAAGAAAUAAUGUUCUAAAUU
rnacentral:lncRNA from 1 species